UUUAGUCUCUAUUGAUCUAGGAAUGCAGUCAGUCAUGAGAAUCUUGCAGAGAUACAUGUUAAACAUUUAGUCGAUUAUUAACAGACAUUCUUCUGGUUUAUUGUUCAAUACAGCACCAUGCAUCACGUAGGCUUGGAGUUGCUGUUUUCUUAGAGGAAAGCCUUAGGCCGAUUCCUUGGGUGAUGGGGACUGAAAAGCUACUUACCACCUGCCCUUUGGGGCGCCACGGAAUCGAGCGGCAGUGGGAACGGGAAGGAAGGAAGCUCGCCAGAUUGUUUGUCUGGGGGUUAAUGAGUGGACACAUCUGAAGCUCUGCCGACAAUGCCUGCCACAUGGGAAUCCUGAAAAACGUAGCUGUUAUCAAAAGUACUCCUUCAAACAUAACUGAGUACCUGAGACCCUCUUGUCAUCUGUCGCAGCAGUGUGCACGGAUAGAGUGUCAGACGCAUUUCCUCAAUGCAACGGCCUUAAGAAACAGACGUAGGCUAUCCACCCUGUAGGACAAAGCUUACACAUAUGUGCGGUCCCCCACCACACACCACCCAAGGAUGGAGUACACUGUAAGUUCACACUGGCUGCUGACUGAAUCAAAGUUGGAACUGUUGUUCUUACUCACCUCAUCAAGCUCACCACUGGAUCUCAAUUCUCUAGGCUGAAACAGCAGUCCUCCUUGACGAUAGUGUAAUUGUGAGUUAUCUCAGCCACUCUUCUUCACACUCACAAUAUAAUAAUAUGAUCUCAGAAUAGCUACAUCAAUAUCACCACCAACAAUGAUUAUUGAAAAGAGGUAAAGAAUUUCCCCAGUUCUUAUCUAACCUGGUAGGGAGAUCAGUAGACCUUCUGGCUUUUCUUCUCUGUGUGCCCAUGCUACCUGAUCAACAGCUUGUCAAUUUCAUGGUUUUCAGUUUCCUUUUGAUUUUUAAGAAUUGCCUUUCUAACUGUGGUUUUGUUUAAGGCCAUGUUAAGUAUCACACGAGCUCGUGUCAAUGUACGUGGUGAAGCACGCUCAGGGAAGAGUCGCUUCUCUCCUGCCUUUUGUGUCUCUUCCUUCCAUUCGUCUUCCAGGUGCUUUUUUAAAAUAUUAAAACCAAACACAUUUGCAUAGAUACACAUGUGUGUUUACAUGCACAAAACUUCCCUUCUGAGCAGGUAAAUAUACUAUAAGUAAAGCACGUGGAAACAUUCCUGCUGCUUCCCACAGCCCUAAGUGACCCAUUGUGAGGAUGUCCCAUGGUUUACUCAGCAAGACCUAUUGCAGGACACUGGCCCUUCCCAUUCCUCCCCAUCAAACCUGCAAGGAACAAGUGUGUAUGUACAAAGUGCUUUGCGGGAUCCAUUCCUGGGAAUGAGAUUCCUUGGUCAAAGAUAAAUACAUGCAUCAUUGUGCUAAUAUGCUCAAUUCCCUUUUAUUAGGUUAAUGUCACUUUUCUAUUUUCAUCAAUGUGUGAUACUUGGUGUUUUUUCCCUAUUUUGUUUUACUAUUCUCAUAUUUUGCUAAGGUAGGGAAGGGAUAGGACGCUGAAAAUAAGUAUAAUAAAUAUUACGACAGUAAGACCUUCAGAAAAUUCUCAUUGUAAUAAAAUUAUAAAUUCUCAAUUAUCUCUUAUAACAAGAGUGUUCUGUCACUUGUGAUAAGUCCAGAUUCACUUUACCUCCUGUUUGCAGUGAAGACGUCUGCACAAGCCCUUUGUGAGGGUUACAUUUGGGCAGGUGGAGCUGUUACUUUCUUUAAAGACAGGUUUCUGAGGUACAGCUGUCACCCAGUUGGCACAUCUACUUAAAUUUCUCAUGUGCAAACUGUUUCUUCCUGGUUUGCAUUCCUUAAAGUUUACAAGAUAACAAGCGAUUUCUCAGAAGAAUUAUAUUCCAGAGUCAGGCAAAAUCAUUUUCACUAGGAAACAAAUAACAUUACUUUCAAGUGGGGCUUGACACAGAAAUACAGUGUCUGUGUCAGGAGACAUACAGGAGUUCUCUCCAUCUUAGACUGGGUUUUUAAAAUUUUUAAAAAAUUUUUAGAGUUUAUUUUAAUUAAUUAUACAUGACAGUAGAAUGCAUGUUGAUACAUCAUAUAUAAUGGAGAAUAAUUUCUCAUUCUUCUGGUUGUACAUGAUGUAGACUCACGCUGGUCAUGUAGUUAUAUAUGUACAUAGUGUAAUAAUGUCUGAUUCAUUCUUCUCUCCUUCCUGCUGGAACGGGUUUUAUGCAUAUGGGUAAUGGGGACUCUUCCUUCAUUUGUGUUCUCUUCAGGGUUGGACUGCUUAUUGAGGUCUAGUGCUCUUGUCCCCACACGAACUGGUAGAGAUAUGAGAUCAACAAAGUAGACAGAGACUCUGUUAUGGGAAGCGGGUCAUUCAAGAAAAAGUGCACCCUACUUUUAUGACAGUUGCGAUAAAUGUGCCGACUUUCCUGAACCUUCUAGUGUGGUCAGUAUUUAUGUAUUUAUUAUGUUUUAUACUUAGUAUUUAUUAAGCCAACCUAUAUUUUGCAGUAUUGUGAGCCCAGUAUGGCUCCAAGUAUUUACAGACAUUAACUCUAAUAAAUACUGUCUAAACUAAGUCAUAAAUAACCAAGCAGCAAUAAAUAGGAUGAAGAUGUCCUCUCAAGUCUGUUCACCUGAUUUGUGUUCUUGUUUAUGCCCAAAUCCACUGAAACUCAUUUUGCUUCCUCUGGUAUUAUAAAAUGCUUUUCCUAGCAUCCCUAGUGGACUUCUGCUUGUACUUUAAAUGUACUAACUGGCAAGAUUAGUCCUCCAGCUAAAACAGCUAGAAAAUCUAGAAAAAAAUUGGUGCAAAGAUACUAGGAAAAAAGGAAGCAUGGGAAUAGAACUCACAACAGGAAAAAAAAAAACAAAAAAACAAAUAAGGUGAUCUUCAGUGUUGGGCUUUUUGCCUGGACCAUGGCCAGGAGGGGGCAGCCCAAGCAGAACUUGGACCUCUCCAGGAUGGGGAAAUGGAGACCAGAGUCCAGGGUACUGUGACAUUGCAUAGGAAAUGCUCAGAGGGAAUUUGGGUCAGAGAACUGGACAGUAAAGAGCCAUGCAGAGAAGGAGGUCCACAUCCACUCCUUCCCGAGACUCUGAAUUUGAAUAUGCACCAGUGUAAGUACUUACUUAGCAAAGAUGACGGUCGGAGGACCAUAGACUGAGGAGCCGCUGGAGCCUGCAUGGAGCUGGCCUCCACGGGCCUGCGUGGAACAGCAGGGCAGGCUUGAGGAAGGCCCAGGACAGGCCCAGGGCUAAGCCACCUUUGGAGAAACCAACACUAAACCACUCUAGCAAAGUUAAAAAAAAAAAAAAAAAGUACUAAGAAAUGUUGGCCUUCAAAUACAUGAACCAAAUUCCAGAACAAGCACAGAGCUCCUUACCGGAAGUUAGGAACCCAGAUAUGAGCACUGAUGUUGGCAAACAUCCAAUCACAGUGACGGGGACACACCGAGAGGCAGGUAAAUGUGCCUCCAGACCAAGAGAAAGUCCAGCUGAUGGAAACAGCCGUGCCUCCUCCUCGCCAGCCUGGGGCUCCCGUCUGGCUGUGGCCUCGGCCUCCACCCACUGCCGCCCGGGUUCUGUGCCCCUUCCGCUUCCUUGGCCUCGGCAGCUCUGCAUGGCCACAUUCUGCCUGCCGUCGCCCCCUGAGGCUCCUUCACUGGCUCUCAGUGUGACUCGUUGCUCAGUGUCAGCCUUGGCGAUGCCCUGAGCGCGUCCCCCAACCUCAACUAUCAGGGAACGUGAUGGCCCAGGCGACAGUGUUGGGAGGCGGAGCCUAAUGAGGUGACUUGUGGCAUUGCUGUGGGGUGGGCUAGUUACGGAGAGGGUGGCUUGCUUUAGAGGUGAGCUGGCCUCCCUUGCCCUCUACAUUCCGCUGUUGGAAGACGCUGCACAACACCAAGAGGCAGACAACCACCCUGUGCUCUGGGUCUCCCCAGGCUCCAGGCUCUUCAGACACUCGCUCAGGUGCUCAGUUAAAAAGCAGCUGAAGAUGGCGGGCGACAGUGUUCCUCACGGCCUUCCUGUUGCCUCUGUGACUCACCCCAGUUCUCUGCACAGUGACCUUUGUCCCUGUGUCUUCAAGUCUUUUUCCCCCCAAGAAACUUCUGUUUCUAUAGUAAUUAAAGUGUCUUAUAAUUAUUGUAAUCACGACAAUAUCCACAUGCAUUAGACUUAUCAAAUAUUGUCACAUACUUUAUUUGCUUUGAUUCUCAUGCACCCCUGUGUGAUGGAAAAUUCAAGAACUAUCAGUACUAUUUAACAAAGAAGAAAAUGAAUGUCAGGAAGAUUACAGCACUGGCACCCAGGUCUGCCUGGCCCCCUGUGGUGGCCAUCAGGGGAGACCCUGGCUGUGGGCAGAGCAGGGGAGGAUGGCGGGGGGUCCCAGGGAAAACCACGGCUACAGCAUCCUGUGUCCAUGUCCACAGAUGUCCGAGGACUCACUGCAGAAGCCACACACAGGUGGCCUCUGUGCCCAGUGGCGAGGUGCCUGGCUCCCCAUCACUCACAGCUCAGAGUGCCUGGGGAGGAAGAGUCGGAGCCUGCUCUCAAGGCUCCCCCAGCUGGGGGUGGUGAGGUCCCUGGCCCCCACGGACUCAACAGGGAAGAAUGGACAGCAGGAAGCUGCUUAGAGAGCUGUUCUCAAUGACCUCCUCCCCGCUGUCCUGGUGCCAUGACGGGGACAGAAGAAAACAGUGGGUACAUGUGGAAACUUUCAGGCAGUUAGAUGGAAAGGAGACACAAGUACCAUAAACAUGACAGAAGAAGAAACACAUUCUCGGGCUCAAGGUUGACGACGUUCCUUUGCAUGUGGAGACAGCCACGCCGCGUGUUGGUUGGCUAGGUUUCUCCCAUGUGUUUUACAUAGAAAUGGAAUUGAUAAACCAUAUUUUACAAAAUUAA